rnacentral:lncRNA from 1 species
CGCACGGGCGACGCGACGCAACGGAUCGGCAGCGUCGUCCAAAAUGCCACACGCACACGUGCACGCCCGCUAGGCCAGCGUCUCCCAGCGCACCUGGUAGCCCUCGCCGCUCAGGUAGCGGUGCACGCUCCAGCCCUGAUUGCGAAACAGGCUAAAGUCGUCGACAAAGUAGAUGAAGAGCGGCUCGUUCUUGGCCGGGUGAGUGCGAAGGGCGCGUCCGGUGGCCUGCUCGACGUCGCUGCGGGGCGAGACCAUGACCACCGUGUCCAGCUGCGGAAUGUCCAUGCCCUCGCCGGCUUCGGCAUAGGUGGCAAGGAUGACAUCGCACCGCUUGCCCUGUUCGCGCUCGUGCCGCUUCAUGCCGCCCACGAAAAACCCGAUACUAAAGAGCACCUCGCCGCGUUCAUUGUCGUCGUCCGGCGCGUCUGUGCCUAAAGCGUUGGUUCUUGGCGUGCCCUCGUGUCCGGGCAGCGCGUUGGGAUCAGUUGGCGGUUGGACAAGCGCCGUGGCCGAACGCGGGGUCCAUCCCUUGGGCAGCGACACUGAUGGGCGGCUCGCGGCUGACGCUCGGGGGUCGCUGUUUGGACGGGUCGAUGAGCGCGCUGGCAACAUGGAUAGGAUGAGCGUGCGGUUGGUCUCGCUCUCCUCGUCGACCAUCAAGAGGUCGCGUGCAAUGCGCGCUGUUUCGUCGCCUCCUCUGGCGUCGCACAAAGUCUCGGACGUUGUCGAUGAUGAUGGUGACGGUGAUGAUGACGACACAGAGGAUGCGGCGUCGAGGGGCGCACCUGCUACGACGACAUCCUCCCCGGUGAGGUGGCGCAGCAUCGCUUCGAUGACCAAUUCACGAAGUAGGGAAAGCUGCUCACGGCGGUCGCUGAGGACAAUGACCUUGCGACGGGCGGGUAGCGGUUGCGGAUUGACGACGCAGUCGACGAUGGCGCGCGCCGCGUAAUAGUUGCGCACGGGGUCGGUCGCCAGGCGAUUGAUCAUGAGCGGAACGUUGGGCUUGCCGUUGCGCAUGGUUAUCUCCUCCUGAUCGCCCUUGGCGUAGCGCACCAUGCGGCACACGACGCCGUCCCAGACGCGGCGCACGUUGGCCACCAUCGGGCCAAAGGUCCAAAAGAGCGCGGGCGUGAGACCGUCCUUCCGGCGCGGCGUCGCCGACAGGCCCAGCGUGUAGUAGCAUCGCAGCGCCGAACUCACCUGCGAGAAGGCCGGUGCCGCCAUGUGGUGCAUCUCAUCGGCCACCCAGAGGCCAAAUGAAUCAAACAUCUCGGGCUCGUAGCGACGCGCCAGCAGCGUCUGCACCAUGGCCAGCACAAUGUCAUAGUCGUCGCCGACGUCGGCGCGAUCGCGGUGAAUGCGGCCGACGCGUGCGGUCGGCGCAAAGCGCCGUAUCUCCUCCUCGGUCUUGUCCAUGUGCUCCUCCUGCGCGACGGUAAAGAUGGCCUUGCGUCCGGUCAUGCACAUGAUAUAGAUGCCACACACGGUCUUGCCGAAACCACACGGGCAUUUGAUCGACGCGCCCGGUGUGCGCGUCAUCCGUGCCCGCUCGGCGGCGGCGGCAGUGGCCCCAUCUCCCAUUGUCAGUGACGCCAUCGACGCAUUUGACAUAGGUAUUGCGCGCGCGGGACGCAAAGAUGUGAUCGCAUGCGCGCCCUUUGCCGUCGUCUGACGGCGCGCCGACGCUUUGGACGCUAGUGUAACGGCAAGGGACGGGCGCGGCGGGACCACGCUCGUCGCCAACGCCAUAGAAUUGGCAGCCUGCGCCAUCAUUUGCGGCGACUGGGCGAGACGCGCGGCGGCGGUCGCGGGGUCGAUACCAAACUGCACGAGCGCGCGGCGACACACCUCGGUCUGCUCGGGCGUGAGCACGCCGAUAAAAGGCACGUGCGUCGGCGUGCCGCGAGCGCGCCGAUCGCGUUCGGGCGGCGGCAUGCCCCACCGAGCCGUGCCAUAGUAACGCGGCACGGUAAAGGUGCGCUCGUCCUCGCGGUACAAUCGCACCGUCUCUGUGCCCGUGUCGUCGUCGACAUGGCGCGUCGAAAGCCCCGUGCUGGUGGCGGCGCGACGGCUACGUGGACCGCCGCCCCUCCCGCGGCCGCCGCGAUUGGGCGCCGCUCGGUACUGGUUGGGCGGCGGCUCGAUGGUGAGCCACCUUCGGUGCGCUUCGAAAUUCGCGUCGGUCAGACCUGCCUUGGAAACGGUGUAAUGGGCGCCGAGUAUGGCAGUGCGCGCCGCCGGCUUUGGUUCGGGGAGCAAGGGCAUAGGCGCCGGCGCGCGAGUAUCGGGAAGGGCGGCGGACGAUGGCGAGCCAGCAGUCUUGGCCGCGGCUUCGACAUUGGUCUUUGGAGGCGCGGCGACGACCACAGCGAUACGCGCAGGUUUCAAAACCGCAGCGUUGACUGUCGUUGUCGUCGGCGUCAUUGCCGUCGCCGUUGCUUUUGGCAUUGUCGCGGACGUUGGUGGCGAGACCGACGACGGCGCCUGCCGGAGGACGAUGCGCGUCUGCACGGGACCCGUCGAGAGAGCCGGCGGAGCGCGCUGCUGUCUUGGCUCUGUGCGCACACCUGCCGUUGGUGUACCAAUUUCGUCAUCGAUGAUAAAUUGCACGCGUCGCCGACAGGCAGGGCGUUCGGCGUCGUGCGCGACGGGCGCCGGCCUCUUGUUGGAGCCGGCAUGCAUGACGCGUACUUUUUUUCG